rnacentral:rRNA from 1 species
UACGGAGGGGGCUAGCGUUGUUCGGAAUUACUGGGCGUAAAGCGCACGUAGGCGGCGAUUUAAGUCAGAGGUGAAAGCCCGGGGCUCAACCCCGGAAUAGCCUUUGAGACUGGAUUGCUAGAAUCUUGGAGAGGCGAGUGGAAUUCCGAGUGUAGAGGUGAAAUUCGUAGAUAUUCGGAAGAACACCAGUGGCGAAGGCGGCUCGCUGGACAAGGUAUUGACGCUGAGGUGCGAAAGCGUGGGGAGCAAACAGG